rnacentral:rRNA from 1 species
GACGAAGGAUGCAAGCGUUAUCCGGAUUCAUUGGGUUUAAAGGGAGCGUAGGUGGCCUUAUAAGUCAGUGGUGAAAUCUCUGGGCUUAACCCAGAAAUUGCCAUUGAUACUGUAGGGCUUGAGUACAGUUGCUGUGGGCGGAAUAUGACAUGUAGUGGUGAAAUACAUAGAGAUGUCAUAGAACACCGAUUGCGAAGGCAGCUCACAAAAACUGUAACUGACACUGAGGCUCGAAAAGUGCGGGGGAUCAAAACAGG